rnacentral:rRNA from 1 species
UGGUGGGGUAACGGCCCACCAAGCCUAAGAUCCGUACGGGCCAUGGGAGUGGGAGCCCGGAGAUGGACCCUGAGACACGGGUCCAGGCCCUACGGGGCGCAGCAGGCGCGAAACCUCCGCAAUGCGGGAAACCGCGACGGGGUCAGCCGGAGUGCUCGCGCAUCGCGCGGGCUGUCGGGGUGCCUAAAAAGCACCCCAUAGCAAGGGCCGGGCAAGGCCGGUGGCAGCCGCCGCGGUAAUACCGGCGGCCCGAGUGGCGGCCACUUUUAUUGGGCCUAAAGCGUCCGUAGCCGGGCUGGUAAGUCCUCCGGGAAAUCUGGUCGCUUAACGAUCAGACUGCCGGAGGAUACUGCCAGCCUAGGGACCGGGAGAGGCCGGGGGUAUUCCCGGGGUAGGGGUGAAAUCCUGUAAUCCCGGGAGGACCACCUGUGGCGAAGGCGCCCGGCUGGAACGGGUCCGACGGUGAGGGACGAAGGCCAGGGGAGCGAACCGGAUUAGAU